rnacentral:rRNA from 1 species
GAAUUUAGCAGAGAUGCUUUAGUGCCUUCGGGAACUCUGAGACAGGUGCUGCAUGGCUGUCGUCAGCUCGUGUUGUGAAAUGUUGGGUUAAGUCCCGNAACGAGCGCAACCCUUAUCCUUUGUUGCCAGCACGUAAUGGUGGGAACUCAAAGGAGACUGCCGGUGAUAAACCGGAGGAAGGUGGGGAUGACGUCAAGUCAUCAUGGCCCUUACGAGUAGGGCUACACACGUGCUACAAUGGCGCAUACAAAGAGAAGCGACCUCGCGAGAGCAAGCGGACCUCAUAAAGUGCGUCGUAGUCCGGAUUGGAGUCUGCAACUCGACUCCAUGAAGUCGGAAUCGCUAGUAAUCGUAAAUCAGAAUGUUACGGUGAAUACGUUCCCGGGCCUUGUACACACCGCCCGUCACACCAUGGGAGUGGGUUGCAAAAGAAGUAGAUAGCUUAACCUUCGGGAGGGCGUUUACCACUUUGUGAUUCAUGACUGGGGUGAAGUCGUAACAAGGUAGGCGUAGUGCU